AUUGAACGCUGGCGGCAUGCCUUACACAUGCAAGUCGAACGGCAGCACGGGAGCAAUCCUGGUGGCGAGUGGCGAACGGGUGAGUAAAGUAUCGGAACGUGCCCAGUCGUGGGGGAUAACGUAGCGAAAGUUACGCUAAUACCGCAUACGAUCUAUGGAUGAAAGCGGGGGAUCGCAAGACCUCGCGCGAUUGGAGCGGCCGAUAUCAGAUUAGGUAGUUGGUGGGGUAAAGGCUCACCAAGCCGACGAUCUGUAGCUGGUCUGAGAGGACGACCAGCCACACUGGGACUGAGACACGGCGCAGACUCCUACGGGAGGCAGCAGUGGGGAAUUUUGGACAAUGGGCGAAAGCCUGAUCCAGCCAUGCCGCGUGCAGGAUGAAGGCCUUCGGGUUGUAAAUUGCUUUUGUACGGAACGAAAAGGUUUGGCCUAAUAAGCUGAGCUCAUGACGGUACCGUAAGAAUAAGCACCGGCUAACUACGUGCCAGCAGCCGCGGUAA
rnacentral:rRNA from 1 species